rnacentral:rRNA from 1 species
CCCUUAGAUGUUCUGGGCCGCACGCGUGCUACACUGAACGGUUCAAUGGGUAAGGUAGUGCGAAAGCAUGACCUAAUCUCGAAAUCCGUUCGUGCUGGGGAUAGAGGCUUGCAAUUAUCCUUCUUGAACGAGGAAUACCUUGUAAGCGUGAGUCAUCAUCUCACGCUGAAUACGUCCCUGCCCUUUGUACACACCGCCCGUCGCUCCUACCGAUUGAGUGUUCCGGUGAGGCUUUGGGAGAAUGGCCUCAACAUGAGUUUAUCGUGUUUUGCCGUUUGAACUUAGUCAAACCUUAUCACUUAGAGGAAGGAGAAGUCGUAACA